rnacentral:rRNA from 1 species
UGACAGUACUCCUACGGGAGGCAGCAGUGGGGAAUAUUGCACAAUGGGCGCAAGCCUGAUGCAGCAACGCCGUGUGAGUGAAGAAGGUUUUCGGAUCGUAAAACUCUGUCCUAAGGGAAGAAACAAAUGACGGUACCUUAGGAGGAAGCCCCGGCUAACUACGUGCCAGCAGCCGCGGUAAUACGUAGGGGGCAAGCGUUAUCCGGAAUCACUGGGCGUAAAGGGUGCGUAGGCGGCUUAGCAAGCCAGGGGUGAAAGGCAUUGGCUCAACCAAUGUAAGCCUUUGGAACUGUUAAGCUUGAGUGCAGGAGAGGUAAGUGGAAUUCCUAGUGUAGAGGUGAAAAUUCGUAGAUAUUAGGAGGAACACCAGUGGCGAAGGCGACUUACUGGACUGUAACUGACGCUGAUGCACGAAAGCGUGGGUAGCGAACAGGAUUAGAUACCCUGGUAG